AUUGAUUUUAUGCUUGCAUAAAUGAUUUUUGGAUUCGGAGCGAGUGGCGAACUGGUGAGUAACACGUGGGUAACCUGCCCCGAAGCGGGGGAUAACAUUUGGAAACAAGUGCUAAUACCGCAUAAUUAGUUGGAACCGCAUGGUUCCAACUUGAAAGAUGGCUCUGCUAUCACUUUGGGAUGGACCCGCGCCGUAUUAGUUAGUUGGUGAGAUAAAAGCCCACCAAGACGAUGAUACGUAGCCGACCUGAGAGGGUAAUCGGCCACAUUGGGACUGAGACACGGCCCAGACUCCUACGGGAGGCAGCAGUAGGGAAUCUUCCACAAUGGACGAAAGUCUGAUGGAGCAACGCCGCGUGAGUGACGAAGGUUUUCGGAUCGUAAAACUCUGUUGUUAAAGAAGAACAAGUGUUAGAGUAACUGUUAACACUUUGACGGUAUUUAACCAGAAAGCCACGGCUAACUACGUGCCAGCAGCCGCGGUAAUACGUAGGUGGCAAGCGUUGUCCGGAUUUAUUGGGCGUAAAGCGAGCGCAGGCGGUUUUGUAAGUCUGCUGUGAAAGCCCUCAGCUCAACUGAGGAAGUGCAGUGGAAACUACAAAACUUGAGUACAGAAGAGGAAAGUGGAACUCCAUGUGUAGCGGUGAAAUGCGUAGAUAUAUGGAAGAACACCAGUGGCGAAGGCGGCUUUCUGGUCUGUUACUGACGCUGAGGCUCGAAAGCAUGGGUAGCGAACAGGAUUAGAUACCCUGGUAGUCCAUGCCGUAAACGAUGAAUACUAGGUGUUGGAGGGUUUCCGCCCUUCAGUGCCGCAGCUAACGCAUUAAGUAUUCCGCCUGGGGAGUACGACCGCAAGGUUGAAACUCAAAGGAAUUGACGGGGGCCCGCACAAGUGGUGGAGCAUGUGGUUUAAUUCGAUGCUACGCGAAGAACCUUACCAGCUCUUGACAUCUUCUGCCAACCCAAGAGAUUGGGCGUUCCCUUCGGGGACAGAAUGACAGGUGGUGCAUGGUUGUCGUCAGCUCGUGUCGUGAGAUGUUGGGUUAAGUCCCGCAACGAGCGCAACCCUUAUUAUUAGUUGCCAGCAUUUAGUUGGGCACUCUAGUGAGACUGCCGGUGAUAAA
rnacentral:rRNA from 1 species